rnacentral:rRNA from 1 species
UGGAUAACCUGCCCUCGGCACCGGGAUAGCCCGAGGAAACUCGGAUUAAUACCGGAUAGCCCUUCCGACUCUCGAGUCGGUCCGAAAAGGUAGCUUCGGCCUCUGGCCGUAGGAUGGGUCCGCGGCGGAUUAGCUUGUUGGUGGGUAAUGGCCUACCAAGGCUCCGAUCCGUAGCUGGUCUGAGAGGACGAUCAGCCACACUGGACUGAGACACGGCCCAGACUCCUACGGGAGCAG